rnacentral:rRNA from 1 species
CAGUAGCCGCGGGAAAACGGAGGGUGCAAGCGUUAUCCGGAUUUAUUGGGUUUAAAGGGUCCGUAGGCGGACUUAUAAGUCAGUGGUGAAAGCCUGUCGCUUAACGAUAGAACUGCCAUUGAUACUGUAAGUCUUGAGUAUAUUUGAGGUAGCUGGAAUAAGUAGUGUAGCGGUGAAAUGCAUAGAUAUUACUUAGAACACCAAUUGCGAAGGCAGGUUACCAAGAUAUAACUGACGCUGAGGGACGAAAGCGUGGGUAGCGAACAGGAUUAGAUACCCCCGUAGUCCCUGUCUCUUAUAC